rnacentral:rRNA from 1 species
UAGGGGGGAAUUAAUUGGGGAAGUAUAUUUAUAAAAAAAUUUUUAGAAGAUAAAAUAUUUAAUGGGGGUUAAAGUAUUUUAUUAAAAAAAAUUUUUAAAUUUAUAGAUUAUUAUGUAUUGUUAAGGAAUUUUGAAAUAGUUGAAAUAUUUAAUUAUUUUGAAAGUAAAUUUUAUUUGUUGUAUCUUGUGUAUCAGAGUUUAUUAAUAAAAAUUUUUAAGAAAAAAUUUCUCGAAUUUAAAAGAGAAAAUUAAUUAAUAAAUUUAUUGUAGUAAAAAUAUUUUUAAUAAUUAAUUUGAAAUGAAAUGUUAAUCGUUUUUAAAUAUAUCUAGUUUUUUUAGAAAAAAAUUUAAUUUUAAAUUUUUGAAAAAAUUAAAUUAUUUGUUAUUUGAUUUUAAGAAAAAAUUUUAUAUUUUAGGGGAUAAGCUUUAAAUUAGAGGGAUAUAAAUAAGAUUUUUUAUUUAAAAUUUUUAUAAUUUAUAUUGUUAAUAAAUUUUAAUUUGUUAUAAAUAAUUUUAUUUAAAAUUAAAAUUUAAGAAGUUUUUUAUUUUUUUAUAAAAAGGUAAAUUUAAAUUUAAAAAAUUUAGUUAUAAUGAUAAAAUUAGUAUAUAAUUUAAUUGUAAUAUGUUUAAACCUAUAAAUAAAUUAGUUUUAAGGAAUUCGGCAAAUUUAUGUAUUCACUUGUUUAUCAAAAACAUGUCUUUUUGUAAAUAAUUUAAAGUCUAAUCUGCCCACUGAUUUUUAAUUAAAGGGCUGCAGUAUUUUGACUGUACAAAGGUAGCAUAAUCAGUAGUCAUUUAAUUGAUGACUUGUAUGAAAGAUUGGAUGAAAUAUAGACUGUCUUAAGAUUAAAAUUAAAAUUUAAUUUUUUAAUUAAAAAGUUAAAAUAUUUUAAAAAGACGAGAAGACCCUAUAGAGUUUAAUAUAAUAUUUUUAUUAAGAUUAUUUGUAAAAUAAAGAUUUAAAUUUGUAUAAUAUAUUUAAUUGGGGUGAUUAAAAAAUAUAAUUAACUUUUUUUAGGGAUAAACAUGAAUUAAUGAUUGAAUGAUCCAGUAUUUAUUGAUUAUAAGAAAAAAUUACCUUAGGGAUAACAGCGUAAUUUUUUUUUUUAGUUCAUAUAAAAAAAAAAGUUUGCGACCUCGAUGUUGGAUUAAAAUAAAAUUUAAAUGUAAAAGUUUAAGUUUUUGAUCUGUUCGAUCAUUAAAAUCUUACAUGAUCUGAGUUCAAACCGGUGUAAGCCAGGUUGGUUUCUAUCUUUUAGUAAAUAAAAUAUUUUAGUACGAAAGGAAUAAAUAUUUAAAUUAUAUAUUUAAUAUAUUAGGAAUUUUAUUAAUUUAAUUUUAUAUUUAAAUUUAAGUAAAAAGUUAUU